AUAUCAAUAAGCGGAGGAAGAGAAACUAACCAGGAUUCCCCUAGUAACGGCGAGCGAACCGGGAAGAGCCCAAAGUGAGAAUCUCCAGCCCCCGGCUGGCGAAUUGUAGUCUAUGGAAGCGGCCUCUGUGGCGGCUCGGGUCCAAGUUCCCUGGAAAGGGACGUCGGAGAGGGUGAGAACCCCGUGGGCCCCGACGCCGCGCCACCCCACGAGACGCUCUCCUCGAGUCGGGUUGUUUGGGAAUGCAGCCCAAAGCCGGUGGUAAAUCCCAUCUAAGGCUAAAUACCGACGGGAGACCGAUAGCGAACAAGUACCGCGAGGGAAAGAUGAAAAGAACUUUGAAAAGAGAGUCAAAAAGUGCUUGAAAUUGUUGAGAGGGAAGCGAUUGGAAGCCGUGGGUGCCCCGGGGGCCACGGGGGCCGUCUCUGACGACCCUCUGAAUCCACUCGGGGCUGGUCAGCAUGGGUUGGCCGGGAGGGAGAACACCGGGGGAUGAACACCCCGGCCACGCCUCCCGGGCGACCGAGGAAACCGAAGGGUGCCCCAGUCGAGCCUGGCUCGAUCCGCACGCCUCAGGAUGCUGGCAGAAGGUGUCCAAUCGG
rnacentral:rRNA from 1 species